ensembl:lncRNA
GAAUAAUUAACUCUGUCUUUACUUUCAGAACAUUUGGAGAGGAUCAAGUGGCUGGCUGACUGAAGAGAGGGUCAAGCUGGGGGCACAGCUGGCACAACAAUCAGCUUCUGAUAAACGUCUGACUGAAAAGAAUGUCAAGCUGAGGGCACAGCUGCCUCUACAAUCAGGAGCAAUAAGGAAGAAUCUUUCUAACUGGGAUGCCACUGACGAGGCUGUCCAGAAUCAGGUCCCCAGGUCCCAGAAAGGGGCAGCUGACUGCAGGUGGAUCCCACUGGCUAUUUUAUGUUUAUUUUGUACUUUCAAAUUCAAAUACUGUACUUUUACUAUCUGUAGCUGGACAUGUUUUCUUGCACUAUUUGACUAUACAUUUUUAUUUCAAUUCAUUUGCACAUAUUUAUUUUGUACGCUUGCUGUAUAAUGCAUGUUUUUUUUUGUAUGCAUCUUGCAC